rnacentral:rRNA from 1 species
AUUGAACGCUGGCGGUAGGCCUAACACAUGCAAGUCGAACGGCAGCACAGUAAUAGCUUGCUCUUACGGGUGGCGAGUGGCGGACGGGUGAGGAAUACAUCGGAAUCUACUUUUUCGUGGGUGAUAACGUAGGGAAACUUACGCUAAUACCGCAUACGACCUACGGGUGAAAGCAUGGGAUCUUCGGACCUUGCGCGAUUGAAUGAGCCGAUGUCGGAUUAGCUAGUUGGCGGGGUAAAGGCCCACCAAGGCGACGAUCCGUAGCUGGUCUGAGAGGAUGAUCAGCCACACUGGAACUGAGACACGGUCCAGACUCCUACGGGAGGCAGCAGUGGGGAAUAUUGGACAAUGGGCGCAAGCCUGAUCCAGCCAUACCGCGUGGGUGAAGAAGGCCUUCGGGUUGUAAAGCCCUUUUGUUGGGAAAGAAAAGCAGCAGGUUAAUACCCCGCUGUUCUGACGGUACCCAAAGAAUAAGCACCGGCUAACUUCGUG